rnacentral:misc_RNA from 1 species
CUUGUCCCAGUCGUUAUUCGCGGUUUAAUAAAAUCCUCCCUUUGCCUCUCUCGGGGGAACCUCAGUUAUCUCCCAAUUAAACAGAUCUAGGGUUUUCGUUGUAGCUGAGCGAUAUGGAUGCCUUGGACUCCGUCUUUGAUCCUCUCAGAGAUUUCGCUAAGGAUAGCGUCCGCCUCGUUAAGAGGUGCCACAAGCCGGACCGCAAGGAAUUUACCAAGGUCGCGUUCCGUACUGCAAUUGGUUUCGUGGUGAUGGGAUUCGUCGGAUU